rnacentral:rRNA from 1 species
UUUAUGGAGAGUUUGAUCCUGGCUCAGGAUGAACGCUGGCGGCGUGCCUAAUACAUGCAAGUCGAGCGAACGGACGAGAAGCUUGCUUCUCUGAUGUUAGCGGCGGACGGGUGAGUAACACGUGGAUAACCUACCUAUAAGACUGGGAUAACUUCGGGAAACCGGAGCUAAUACCGGAUAAUAUUUUGAACCGCAUGGUUCAAAAGUGAAAGACGGUCCUGCUGUCACUUAUAGAUGGAUCCGCGCUGCAUUAGCUAGUUGGUAAGGUAACGGCUUACCAAGGCAACGAUGCAUAGCCGACCUGAGAGGGUGAUCGGCCACACUGGAACUGAGACACGGUCCAGACUCCUACGGGAGGCAGCAGUAGGGAAUCUUCCGCAAUGGGCGAAAGCCUGACGGAGCAACGCCGCGUGAGUGAUGAAGGUCUUCGGAUCGUAAAACUCUGUUAUUAGGGAAGAACAUAUGUGUAAGUAACUGUGCACAUCUUGACGGUACCUAAUCAGAAAGCCACGGCUAACUACGUGCCAGCAGCCGCGGUAAUACGUAGGUGGCAAGCGUUAUCCGGAAUUAUUGGGCGUAAAGCGCGCGUAGGCGGUUUUUUAAGUCUGAUGUGAAAGCCCACGGCUCAACCGUGGAGGGUCAUUGGAAACUGGAAAACUUGAGUGCAGAAGAGGAAAGUGGAAUUCCAUGUGUAGCGGUGAAAUGCGCAGAGAUAUGGAGGAACACCAGUGGCGAAGGCGACUUUCUGGUCUGUAACUGACGCUGAUGUGCGAAAGCGUGGGGAUCAAACAGGAUUAGAUACCCUGGUAGUCCACGCCGUAAACGAUGAGUGCUAAGUGUUAGGGGGUUUCCGCCCCUUAGUGCUGCAGCUAACGCAUUAAGCACUCCGCCUGGGGAGUACGACCGCAAGGUUGAAACUCAAAGGAAUUGACGGGGACCCGCACAAGCGGUGGAGCAUGUGGUUUAAUUCGAAGCAACGCGAAGAACCUUACCAAAUCUUGACAUCCUUUGACAACUCUAGAGAUAGAGCCUUCCCCUUCGGGGGACAAAGUGACAGGUGGUGCAUGGUUGUCGUCAGCUCGUGUCGUGAGAUGUUGGGUUAAGUCCCGCAACGAGCGCAACCCUUAAGCUUAGUUGCCAUCAUUAAGUUGGGCACUCUAAGUUGACUGCCGGUGACAAACCGGAGGAAGGUGGGGAUGACGUCAAAUCAUCAUGCCCCUUAUGAUUUGGGCUACACACGUGCUACAAUGGACAAUACAAAGGGCAGCGAAACCGCGAGGUCAAGCAAAUCCCAUAAAGUUGUUCUCAGUUCGGAUUGUAGUCUGCAACUCGACUACAUGAAGCUGGAAUCGCUAGUAAUCGUAGAUCAGCAUGCUACGGUGAAUACGUUCCCGGGUCUUGUACACACCGCCCGUCACACCACGAGAGUUUGUAACACCCGAAGCCGGUGGAGUAACCUUUUAGGAGCUAGCCGUCGAAGGUGGGACAAAUGAUUGGGGUGAAGUCGUAACAAGGUAGCCGUAUCGGAAGGUGCGGCUGGAUCACCUCCUUU